UCUAUUUUUCGAUUUUUCCAACUUUUCCUCCCUUCCAGCUUUUCUUUCUUCCAACUUUUCCUCUUUCUCUAUCUUUCGCUAUUCUCUAUCCCAUUUUUCUCCCCUUCAUGAUUCUCAGCACCUCCAUGAUCAUCUUCUUCGCCUAACUCCACUGCUCCACAAAAUCUGACUUUCUUGGCAUCAAUUUCCUCACCAUUGCUUGCGUUUUCUCUCCCCUUUGUAACUUUUUUCUAAUUUUCCACUUUCGAGGUAACAUCAUCAACAUCAAUUUUUAGGGUUUUGGCAUUGAUUUCUUCAUAAUCGAUCGUAUUUUCUCUUUCAUCUGCAACUUUCUUCGGAUUAUCAACACGCAUUUCGCAAGAAUUGUUAAUCCCUAUAUAUUCUUCCAAAUUUUCUUCCAAACUGAACAUUGUUUUCAUUCAAUGCUUUGAACCCCUCUUGCUUGUCCUGCUCACGUCUCCCUUCAUCGCUGCGUCUUCUUUGCUCAUCGGUCCUUCAAAAUCAGAAAUUGAUGAAGUAGUGGGGAAAAUCACGAGGAAGAAGUUUUAAGGGUUUGGGGUUCUUAAAGGAGUUUUUGAAAUCAUACGAUUCGUCAACUGGAUUUUCAGAAUUAUGUACGAAGUCAGUGAUUUCGAGGAAGUCGAUCUCUCACAAGUUUCUCGUUUACUCUCUUCUUCUACUUCUGAUACUGUUGCUCACUUAAUUGCCCAAAAUCAGAAGGUCGCAACAACAAAGAAAGUUGGGAGAAAGCCUGAAAGACGGCUUCGUAAUGAUCCAGAUAUAGCUUUUGAUUCUUUGAAAAUUGAUAAUUCGCAACACAAAUUAGUGAUUGAUAAUGUGUUAGGUUGUACGUAGUAUAGUGAACAAAUUUAAUGAUUAUGGUAAUGUAAAUGGUAAGUUAGUUGGUAUUGUUGGAAAUGGUGGAUUGGACAUACUUGAAUCGCGGAUUGAAUUUUGAUGAUGGAGUUGAUAAUGUGGAAAUUAGGGGUUGUAUUGACUUAAAUUUAAGAGUAGAUGAUGAUUAUGGGGUUGAUGAGAAUGACACUAGGAUUGAAAAGGUUGGUUCUUUAGGGAAGGAAGAACGUAGGUUCGAUUUAGGGCUCAAUGAGGAGAGCAUGAAUGGAGAGAAUGGGACAAUGGAUGCGGGUGCAUGUAUAGGCUUAGGUGAAUUGAAAAAUAGGGAUACCAGUGUUGUUGCUGCUAACCAUGUUAAUUGUACGAUUUGUGAUGCUCAAUUGGAAGGGGAUCGUUUGGAGGAUGGAAAUUGUGGUAGGAAGAAGAAGAGAAAAGUCAAGAGGAAUUUGAAUUCACCAAUAUAAACUAUGUUGAGAAGCAAGAAGUGCACAUCAAGCAAAAGUUGUUGUUGCGGAUGAAAUUUUAGCUUGCUCAUUGGUCCUUUUCUCUCUCCUCUCGUUUUGUUGUUUGUUUGUUGUUGUUAUUCAAUUUUACGGUUGAAUCCUCUGAUUUUUGUUUGUGUGUUGAAUUUUGUAGUGAUUUGAGUGAGAUACUUGAUGCGUACGAAAGAGAUGAUAAGUUUUUCUUGUAUACUGGUCGAGGACCUUCCUCUGAAGCGCUGCAUGCCUGCAUUUAGGGCAUUUGGUCCCUUUCAUGUUCAUCAGUACCAUUUUCACUCCAUAUUCACUUUCUCAAUCUUCUUCUUCUCUCUCCUCCUUUUCCUAUUCCUUUGUAAUUGAAACUUGAGGGCUUUAUAAUGAAAUGGAAAAUGAAAUAAUCCAAAAAUUAGGCCUUUGCAAUUAAUCAAGAAAUCUUUUCUAUGCUUUAGUCUGGAAAAAAAAAAUAGUUGUUGUUGAACUCUCGUAUGGCUUUUGAACUCAAAUGCCAUUUUCAAAGAAAACCCCCUUUUCUAAUUGUCUUGACUCUUGAGUUUUGUUUAUGAUCACAUCCUUAUUUUGUUUGGUGAUUUCUAAGUUUUGUAAUUAAUUGUUCUAGAAUUAAUGGAAUUUUUUAUGCUUGAAGCCCGGGUUUUAAAGUUAGGGCUUGGAAUUUUGGCUCACUUUUGCUGUAAUUGAAGAAAUAUGGGAAGUGAGAGAUGACAUGUUAAGUUGUGAUGUAUCAAUAACCAAGUAAGAUGUAGGUGAUGAAUGGUACAAUGGAGAGGGGGAUGUGGUGCUGAUUCUGAAUAAUAAGAAGCUUCUUGCAAAGUAUGUUUUCUAAAAAUAAAAAAGAACUAACUAAUUUGUAGUUGUUUUCUCUUUAUAUUGGUCCAAUGCUUUUUCAUGUUUCAGAUGCUUAGAAUAUGAGAAGGCUAAAGAAGAGCUCAAUUAUAAGGUUUAUAUUUCAUUUUCCCCUCCUCUCCAAAAAUGGAUUUCAUCCACUCAGACGUUAAAGCUACUACAAUGACGACUAGGUUUUAUCGAAAGUACUUUAUCUGUUGAGUAACACUGACCCGAGUUAGGAGGGAGCUUAUUUUUAUAUAUGUUAAUUUUCUUGAUUUUUCCUUGUUGGCCUCUGCCUCUGGAAUAUGAAAAUAAACAGGUUUAAGAAAAUAGGUAUUGGAGGUUGAUUUUUUUGGAAGGUUUAGUUCCUCUCCUUGAGAAAGAGAGAUGGUAACGACAUACAUGAAUAUUUACUCGUUGAAUUUCUGUUUGAUACUUUUACUUGCACUCAGGCCCGUCCUUCAGGCUGGACAGGAGGGGCGCCUACCCAGGGCCCAAGAAAAGGUAGCCCAAAUUUAUUAAAGCAGUUUUUUUUUUUUUUAAAUUCAGUUCAAAGAAAAACGCGUGUGAGACGUUUUUCUCAUAUUCUUCAACCUUCCUUUAUUACUCUCAUUCAAUUACUACUCCUUGUUUCUCUCAAAAUCGUUUCAUAUCCUCCAAUUACCAAAUAAAUUUUGAAAAAUUUCCAAGUUUAAAUUAAAUUCUUGAACUAAUUCCUUCUUUUCAGUUUUCCAUAUUCUGAAAAUCUCAACAUUUUUAAUUUUUUCUUUCCCAAUUUCCAUCCUCAAUCAAUCUCCGAAUUCUCUUAAUUGAUCUUCACAAUUGAAGAUGAUUUCCCCCAUAAACGGCUAUUUUGUAUUAAAAUUUCUAACGGGAUUUAUAUUUCAUAUAAGUAAAACUCCUAUGAACUUUAUAUCUCACCAAUUUCCAUUCUUUCUUCCUAUUCUUCUCACAAUUAUUGGGUUCAAAAUUUUGAUAAUUUGGCAAAUUUGGGAGUUUAUCUGUUCGAAUUUUACUGUAUGUUACUUCGUGAAGUGCCGAAGUUUUAAUUUGGUAGACAAAGAAUCGAAGAUUCGAAGGGAGUAAUUGGGUAAACAAUAGAAAAAUCUGGACGGUUGGCUACUUCAUCUUCAACGAUUUGGUGCCUGUGACCGUUGCAUCGGCCGAAAGAAGCUUUUCAAAACUGAAGUUAAUAAAAACCUAUUAAGAUCAUCAAUGGCGCAAAAGAGGUUGAACGGUUUGGCAACAUUAUCGUUGAGAAGGAUAUGCUGGAAAACAUUGAUCUUGAUGUAAUUAUAAAUGACUUUGCAUCUCAAAAUGCUUGAAGAAGCCGCUUUGUAUGAUUUUUAAGAAAGAGAUAGGUUUUUUUUUUUUAUAUUUUUUAAAAGUUCUUUUAUGUAUUAAGACUUGUUAUGCUAAAUAAAUUUUUUUUUUGGUCCAUUAUUGAAUUUUAUUCAAAUCAUAGAAACGGUAAGGGGACUCAUUUUUCACACUUCGCAUAGGGCCCAUAAAAUGUCAGGAACGGGGUUGCUUGCACUUUGUUAGGAAAGUGGGAAUUGACACGUGGAGGCCCAGGUAUGAAUUUGGUUUAGCAUGUAUAUGUAAGCAUGUCGUGCUGUACUUAGGUUUGCAUAUUUGGAGGCUAUCGUUUUUGGUGGACUGUUGUGAAAUCUAUGUAGCUAUUGCUGAAUUGUUCAUAGUAUUGUCGGAGUUUAUGACUUUAUGAUCAUUGUAGCCUUUGUCAUAAUUUUCUUAUUGGUUCUUAGCUUCUCAUAAAUGAAAUUUUAGGAACUAUUAGAGCCCUGAAAGAGUCUGCAAGGACUUCGCUUUGUAAGCAUGAAUAAAGUUGAUAAUGUGGGAUUUCAUCCUUUAUCAUUGGCCAGGUCAACUGUUUAAAUGUAUGCUACACUAACUUUGCUAAUUGAGCUACCAAAUUCCAAUUACUUAUUGUUUGAAAUGCAGGGUACACUACAUUGGAUACAUUAAGCUCCUAUGGUUUUGAAUUUCCUUACUAAAACUUGUAGGGUUUUUAGCCAUAAUUUUGCUGCUUAGGUAACUUAUUAGUACAGAAAUAGCCUAAAACAUGUAAUACAUUCGGGACACUUGUCACAACCCACAGGCUAAACCAACAAGAAUAAGCGUCAAGGUGCUUCCACAGGGAUGUUAUAUAUUAGGAACUCUUUUUAUGUUUAAGCUUGAAGAGUAACGUUUUCUGUGGGAACUAAUAUAGUAUAUGUUCAAUUUCUGUAUAAGGAAAGUUCUGACCUUAUGCUAAGCUCAUCCUCUUGGAGGCUUCUGGAUAC